rnacentral:lncRNA from 1 species
CGAGCGGCCCAGAGCGGAGUCCUCCAGAGCAGACGAGUUUAACCUCCGAGCGGCCCAGAGCGGAGUCCUCCAGAGCAGACGAGUUUAACCUCCGAGCGGCCCAGAGCGGAGUCCUCCAGAGCAGACGAGUCGCAGCUCCCAAAGCGGCGAGCGCGGGCCGGAGCGGCCCCGCGGGGUCGGUCACUUCCGGGCGGCGGCGGCGGCGGGAACGUUCGAGCAUGGCCGCGGCCGCCGCCGCCUCCUCCCGGCGCCGCCGCCGUCCCCGCGGCCACCCCAACCCGCUGUUCGCCCGCUGGCUCCGGGAGUGGCGGGACGAGGCGCGGGGCACCUGGGCGAGGGGCACCUAUGAGAGGGUGGGUGUGUGGGGGGGGGCCCGGUUCGAUUUAGGGGUCCCCAGGUGGGCGAUUUUGGGGUGCCCGGGUGUGUUUUGGGGUCCCCAGGUGGGCGAUUUUGAGAUGCCCAGAUGUGUUUUGGGGUAACCAGGUGGGUGAUUUUGGGUUCCCAGGUGUGUUUUGGGAUGCCUGGGUGUGUUUUGGGGUGCCCAGGUGGGUGAUUUUGGUGUGUCCAGGUGUAUUUUGGGGUGUCCGGGUGUGUUUUUGGGGUCCCCAGAUAUGUUUUGGGGUACCCAGGUGUGUUUUGGGAUCCCCAGGUGGGUGAUUUUGGGGUCCCCAGGUGGGUGAUUUUGGGGUGCCCGGGUGUGUUUUGGGGUCCUCAGGUGUGUUUUGGGGUGCCCAGCUGUGUUUUGGGCUCCCCAGGUGGGCGAUUUUGGGGUGCCCAGGUGUGUUUUGUGAUCCUCAGGUGUGUUUUGGGGUGCCCAGGUGUGUUUUGGGGUGCCCAGCUGUGUUUUGGGGUGCCCAGGUGGGUGAUUUUGGGUCCCCAGGUGUGUUUUGGGAUGCCUGGGUGUAUUUUGGGGUCCCCAGAUGGGUGAUUUUGGGGUGCCCGAGUGUAUUUUGGGGUCCCCAGGUGUGUUUUGGGAUGCCCGGGUGUAUUUUGAGAUCCUCAGGUGUGUUUUGGGGUGCCCAGGUGGGUGAUUUUGGGGUCCCUGGUCAAGUUCCCCCCUUCUGGUUGGUUCUGGGCUCCCUCAAGGGAAUUUUGGGGUGCUCCAGGUGGGUUUUGGGCCCUCCCAGGUGGGUUGGGCAUCCCAGGCUGCUGAUUUUGAACCCCCUAAGGUGUCUUUGCCCCCGCAGGUGUAUCCCAGGUGUAUUUUGGGUACCCCCAGGUGUAUCUCAGGUAUGUUUUAAGUUCCCCAAGUGUUUCCAGGUGUGCUUCAGGUGUAUCCCAGGUGUGUUUUGA